rnacentral:rRNA from 1 species
UACGUAGGGUGCAGGCGUUAAUCGGAAUUACUGGGCGUAAAGCGUGCGCAGGCGGCUUUGCAAGACAGAUGUGAAAUCCCCGGGCUUAACCUGGGAACUGCAUUUGUGACUGCAUGGCUAGAGUGCGGCAGAGGGGGAUGGAAUUCCGCGUGUAGCAGUGAAAUGCGUAGAUAUGCGGAGGAACACCGAUGGCGAAGGCAAUCCCCUGGGCCUGCACUGACGCUCAUGCACGAAAGCGUGGGGAGCAAACAGG